GCAAUAACAAAAUGUUGCAGCGUUGACUGCCUGUAUCUGGUGUUCCAGCUAGUCUCCAUUCCACCUGCCCACCCCUGUUUACUGUCCCACCCUCAACCAUCGGCAUUCUGUGUCCCCUAAACAUGGUUCAGUUCUCAUUUGGCUGUUUCUGAGGUUUCACCUCUCUUACAGUUUAUUUUCUAAAAAUUGCUGCAAUUCUGCAAAACUUGGGAUAUCCCUGAGCCUGUUAAUAACCUUCUUGCCAAUGGCUGGUGCCAUUUUGGAUACACAUGGGCCCAACCUCAUAGGAGGAGUUUGCCAUUGGUGUAGAGGAUUCAGUCUGUGUGAAGUCAGAUUCAAAUGUGCAGAAAUAAUUCAUAAGUCAGUCUUUCCCAGACAGGGUCUCUUCAAACUGCAGAUAGAAAUUGCAUACUUGUGCAUUCACAGGCACAAAAACACGCAGGGAGCGUUCAAACCUGUAAACCUGCAGUCUCAAGUGGACAAUCAAGGAUUGUACUACAGACUCUUGGCAUUCUGAAAUAACUAUAAAUAAUUAUAAUUAUACAUGCCACAGGACCUCUGUUGCUAUUAGCAGCUUCCUGACUUGAAAACUGCAUGUUAAAAUUCAGUGGAAUUUAAAGCACUUUUGCCAGAGUUCCAAACUGUGCAGGGAAAAACAGCUUUGGAGGUGAUGGUAGUGGAGGAAAAGAGGCCGGUGGAAAAAGGGAUAAGCACACUUUAUCCUUAUCUGUUGCUUCUCUGUUGCUUCUCUCCCACAAAGAUGCUUCGGAAAAACUGGUCAUCAGGGUUGUGCUAUGUGCCUUUGUGUCCAUUUGGUAGCUUGUCCCUGAAUAUUGGCUUUAUGCAUUCUGUCUUGCUACCUCUUGCCCCUGCAUUUUCAGCCUCAGAACACUUCACUGUCAUUUUUGGAUACGUAAUUAGCAAUUGCACCUGAAAGCACACAGGGGAAGCUGCCUUAUACUGCAGGAGACUCUUUGUCCAUUAAGUCCAACAUUACCUACUCCAGCGGUAUCCAACAUGGUGCCUUUCAGUUUUUGUGGCCAUUAUUUCUUUAUCCCACCCUUCCUCCCAAAGCAACCCAGGCCAUCAAGCAACAAAGUAGCAAAGCAGUGCUAUGAAAAAUAAAAACUUUAAAAACAGAGCAUCUAAAAGACAUUAAAAAAUGACAACUCCUGUCAGCUCCAGUCAGCAUGGCCAAUGGUCAGGAUUGAGCACUUCCCAUAACCGGCUACUUGUUUUUGCGCAUUUUUAAACUAGUGAUUGGACUUGCACUUUCUGCAUGCAAAGCAUGUGCUUUCUACCACUGAGCUUUCCCAUCUCUUCCUGGGCUAGAUGCCAGCCUCAGGCAAUGAGAUUUCUGGUUCUGCCUGGAAAGUUGUGUCCUCAUUUUUCCAAUUCACAGUGCACUGCUUCAAAACCAAUCCAAGGACAGACCAGCGUUGUGUGAACCGAGGAUCAUAAUGAAAAGCUAUGAAGAGUCCUCCUCUCACUGGUGGCUUCCUGCUGGUUCUCUGCUACCCAAGGUAAUUGUCAUCAAAGCGUUUCAUAUUUCUAGUAAACACUUGUGUGGGAUGGUGCCUGUAUCGGAUGACUGGAUGGUUGCCAUGGAGAAUUAAGUGUGUGUUUUGUGAACAGUGCAGAAGUAAAACCCCUCAUUAAACAAAGCUCUCAGCUGCCAAGUUGGAAGAGGGCAGAGUGAUUAUGUGCAAAACAGGUUGAAUUGUAAACAUGGAUGGACAAAUCAUGGCCCAAACAUCAUUUGACAAAGGUCAAAUGAACAGUAUUUGCAUUGUUCAACCCCAUGACAUAUAUCUUAAAAUAUAGGUACUUUUGGCAGUCAUCAGGUACUACGUGUCUGAGAUGUAUCACUACAUAGUGUAGGCGUGGAGGAAUGUCACAUGACUAAAUGCUCCUUCAUGUAAAUAAAUAAAUAUCCGAAUACAUAGAAAACGUAACGUGCCAAGGAGAAAGCUAAUCUAGAACCCUUAUCCCUGAUAAUAAGUUUUAUUUGUGAAAGUUUGCUUUAAAAGUUUGGUAUUUAUUUAUAUGCAGCAUUCUUUUACUUUUCCUCGAAGUCUAAAGCAGUACAGCCAAGACACAGAUUUACCUCACUAGUAGGAAGUAGGCCUCAGUAUCAAAGAAUAUACAAAAAUAAAUAAUUGCAGUGGGACCUGCUUUUUCACAUGGCAGCUCCUUUCUUAUUCUUGGGAGAAAAUAUGUGUAUUCUUUCAUAUUUAUGAAGGUGAACUGGCCCACUCAGUAAUGAUUUUGAUUUGUUUCCACUCUUGAAGUGCUAUGUCCUCAUUCAUUGGUCCACACAUAGCCAUUUUCAAGAGGGAACAUGAGUACUGAAUAAAUUAUCUUACAUUUGUUUUGGGAUGCUGUAGAAUUAUAACCAGUUCUCUUCUGCCACUAUGUUUGAACAAGUUUUCAGUGAAUAUACAGAAAGAAGACUUUCAUAAGACUUCUCUCCUGACUCAUAAUAUUGGUGCAUGUGUACUGAUGGUGUCUCAAAAACAUGCCUUAUAAUUUUGACUCCUGGGAAUCACAUUUCUCUGCAACAGCUAUGGCAAACAGCUGCUUAGAAACCAGCCCCACUCUACUCAGAGGAAACAGGAAGGAUUUUAGAUCUGGAUGGUUGACAACAACUGCAUAAAAAUGUUUGCAAGCAGUUGCAAGAUGCAAUUAGAGAAUGAUAUGCCAUUUUAGGAUCAGAAUUAAAGCUAUCUCAUAUUGACUCAAGCUCCACACACCUGGGAUAUUGUACCUUGUGGUCAGGGAUGAUAAUGUGCAAUGCCACAAAUUGUGCUUGCUUACAACUUCCCCUCCAUAUUGCGACAGGAGUGCAAAAUGUCCUGCAAAAUUUAGAAGUCAGAAUUUCUAUAUGUCCAAUAAGACAAGAGAACUGCUUUCUGACCAGCAAUCCACCCACCAGUUGUCAGACCCAGUUUUUUAAUGCUCCAGUAACUAUAGGGCACUUGUGUCCUUAAACCACAAAAAUAAGCAGUCUUUUGUGCAUUUAUUAUCAAUGAAACUUCAUUUAAGAUAGUGUUCCAAAACUCCUCCACCACUGGACAGUUCCACCACAUAUGGCACCCUCUCUAAUACAAUUAUGAGCCUCCUUCCUCACCCUAAAAACCCAGAUUGAGUUACAGGGCCAUCGGUAUAGGAUUGUUAAUAAAUUUUCCUUCCCCACGAGCACAGAGUGCAGGUGUUUCCCAGUAACUCCCUCAUAGUAUUGUAGCAUGGAACAAUUUGAGAAUUACUGUACUAAGGCAUGACUCUUACCAAUGUAUGUAGCAAUGCAUAAUAACACAAAUGGAAAAGUGCUCCAGUUGUCAUGGGUACCACUAUUUCAAAAUCCCAAAGAUUACUGUUCAGAAAUGUUUUCAUCCUUCAAUAAAUUAUACAGAUAAUAAAUGUGCAUUAUAUAGUCAGUUCUCCGAUUCCAGAGGCACUAAGCUGCUAGGUUGUUGUGAAACCCCUGACUGGGAAAUAUGAAGCUUUGUUAAAUGAAUCAGUCUUGUGGCCUAUCUAGCCUGGGAUUGUUGCUCUAUAAUUGGCUGUGGCCCUCCAGGUCUUCCACAUCCCUUCCUGCCUCAGCUCGUUUUUUGUUUUUUUAAACCAGAGAUGUCAUGGAUUGAACUGGGGAUCUUUAAAAUGCAAAGCAUUUGCUCUGUUCAUUGAGUUACGGUCUCUGCCUAGUUAUUCUUAUCAAACAUUCUCCUUUAAAUUACACUAAGAAUGAUGGGGGGGGAGCUUUGAUUUUUGAAUGCAAAAAUACAAAUAAAACUUCCUUUGAAGAUAAUUAUUAAAUUACUCAUUUUCCCCGUGAAGUUUGAAGCAAGAUUUUAACCUUCACAAGAGUCAUGUGAGAGAAGUGAGACUGAGAGAGAGGGAAUGCCAUUUGGUGGGCUUCAUGGCCAAGUGGGGAUUGCAUCUGAGUUUCUGUCAGGAGUGGGGGUUAGGAGUAGAUCAGCAAACAAACAAAACAAAACAAAACAAAACAAAACAAAACAAAACAAAACAAACCCACAGUAUCAGUGCAGUUAGCUCUUUAUUCAAGAAGACUUAUGUUGGCUCAGGAGGCCAGGCCUAGUGAGCACAGCAAGUUGUCCCAGUAGAUCUUGCAAUUGUGAGGACUGAAGGUUCUCGCCUUCCCACAGUUGUCUCCUCCUCCCCUGCGUCCUUCCCAAGCAACCUGAGACUCUGUUACCUUGUCUGUCUCUGCUCCUUCAUACCUCUUCUGGUUCUGGGAGACCAAAGGGGAGAGGAACUGGUCACAGCAGGAGGGGAAGACACCCUGGUUUCUUUACCAGCCUGACCCAUCUCUGCCUCUUGGCCUCCCCUCCUUUCCAGCCUCUGCUUCUGCCUCUGAUUUUGGACUGCUCUCUGCCACAGACUCUUCCUGCUCACUAAACCCUGUUACCUCUUCAGCUUCUGACACCUCCCCCUCCCAGUCUGCUCUCUCUUCUCCCUCUGACCACUCACUGUCAUCCCAUCAACAAUCCCCUGGCUCUGAGCCUUCUUCCCCUGGGUUUUUUCUGGGGGGGGGGGUUCCCCAGCUGGUGCCUCUCACCACUUCUCUGCAUCCAGCCAGUCCAUUACAGUUUUCCACAUAUAAGCCCAAUACUCUAGUCCAGGGACAAGGAACCUCUUGCCCUCUGAUGUUGUUGGAUGACAACUAUCAUCCCUGACCAUUUGCCUGUACUGGUUGUGGCUGAUGGAAGCUGGAAUCCAAACGCAUUUGGAGGGCCACAGGUUCCCCAGACCAGCUAUAGUCAUUGCACUACACCAGCCUUCAGAACUAAACGGUGCACAUUGCCACAAUUCAGUGGUGAUUACAUUCAACAAUCAACUUCUUCUCUGCCUUGGUCUUUUGUUGUUGCCAUAAAUUAAAUAAACUUCACAUAACCAUUAAAACACACUUUGUUCAAGUGUCAGGUAUGCCUUUUUGUGGUAUAUUCCACUUUUGUGUAGGGUGCCAAUCUGCAGUGUUGCCAGUAAGCAAGCGAGCAAGAUUGCAAGUGAGCAAAAUUAAUGGAUUAAUUAAUUAUAGUUCUACCCUGCUUUUCACAUGAAUAUUGAGUAUCUCCCGAGUGGUUCACAUUGAUUUUUUGUUUUUAAUGGUGAACACACCCUGUCCUCGGGUUUAUAAACUAAAAAACAAGAUACCCAAGGAAAAGAAGUGAAGUCAAGAGAAAUGAGAUCAGUUUAACACUGAUAGAACCAAGUAGUGAGUUGUAAACUGGCUAUUUUAUCCAGCUGGGGCCAGGAUGAUCUUUCUUGCUGGUGAUCUUGCAUGGAUAGAGGUGCUGCAAAUGAUCCAACAGCUCUUGUUCAUUUUUGAUGUAUGAGAGCAUCUGUUAGUUGGAGCCAAAAUUCCACAAUAUGGGUGCCCACCAUCAAACACACAUUCUGGUCCUGCUGCUAGAUGGACUCACCUCAUGUCAUAUACUAUUCAGUGAUCUUAACUCAUGCAGGGCAGGUAGGUAAAAAGGUAACGGACCCCUGGAUGGUUAAAUCCAGUGCCUAUGGGGUGUGGUGCUCAUCUCGCUUCAGGCCAAGAGAGCCGGUGUUUGUCCACAGACAGCUUUCUGCGAUCAGCAUAACUAAACUGCUUCUGGCACAUCAGAACACUGUGAUGGAAGCCAGAGCACACAGAAACACAGGUCAGGGCACAUAUGGGAAAAGGUAUGUCCUAGACCAGGCCCCAUUUAGAUCUAUAAAUCAUUAAUUUAGCAUGGAAACUAACUAGCAUUCAGUGUGUUCUCAUAAGGUCAGUGUUAUAUGCUAUGUGCAAUUGGCCCCAGUCAAAAAAAACAUGCUGCUACAUUCUGGACAACCAGUUCAAUCCAGGUAGGACUGGGAACUAUUCCUGCCUGAAACCAUGGAGAGCAACUGCCAGCUAGUCUUGACAAUACUCAGCUAGAAAUGCUAAUAGUCUGACUUGGUAUAAGGCAUUUAGUCUCCCAUCUGCAAGGAAGAUCUUGCACAUGCUAGGGCAGGGAAAGAACACUUUUAUACAAAAUGUAAGAAUUAUGUGCUUCAUGCUAGAUCCAAAUAUUAUACCUGCGUAGAGAGGGAAGGGAAAGUGUCUAAAAGUAUGUGGGUAAAGUAACAUCCAAGUGACAGAACUGGGCAAUUAAGGCAGUGAAACGAAGGAUGCACAUCUUCAAACAUGAGUGCAGACUAGAGUUAAAUAGUGGAUACCUCUUCCCAGUUGUUUUUGUGUGUGAUGGUACUCACCAAUCUAGAGUACCAUCACCUCCUUUUUGUUUCCCGUGGCAGCUAUCUUGAGCCAGCACUCACAGCACUUUGAUACAUGUACAAUACCAGCACUUCAUUUUUUACUAAAAAAAAAAUAGCACUGCCUCUGCCAUUUAUUCUCCGCUAUUAUCUUCUUAUUUGUAUCCUGCUUAAAAGUACAGGUGUCUAUCUCAAACUAUGGAUGCAAAUCAAAUUAAUGUGCAUAACUCCAACAGCACUUAGUAAAACGGCAUGAAGGCAUGCUCUGAAAGCAUCAUAUGUUGAGUUAAAUAGAUGUAGGUCUGCUCGGUGACUGACUGGAUGAGGAACUGCCUGAGAACCAUCUGUGCACUGCCUCGAGUUCAAUGAUAGAAGAAAGGUGAAAUGAAUUUAAG